CGGGUAUAGUUCAAUGGUAGAACCUCAGCCUUCCAAGCUGAUGAUGCGGGUUCGAUUCC
rnacentral:tRNA from 1 species